GACGAACGCUGGCGGCGUGCUUAACACAUGCAAGUCGAACGGAAAGGCCCUGCUUUUGUGGGGUGCUCGAGUGGCGAACGGGUGAGUAACACGUGAGUAACCUGCCCUUGACUUUGGGAUAACUUCAGGAAACUGGGGCUAAUACCGGAUAGGAGCUCCUGCUGCAUGGUGGGGGUUGGAAAGUUUCGGCGGUUGGGGAUGGACUCGCGGCUUAUCAGCUUGUUGGUGGGGUAGUGGCUUACCAAGGCUUUGACGGGUAGCCGGCCUGAGAGGGUGACCGGCCACAUUGGGACUGGGAUACGGCCCAGGCCCCUACGGGGGGGAGGGGUGGGGAAUAUUGCAAAAGGGGGGGAAGCCUGAUGCAGCAACGCCGGGUGGGGGAUGACGGCCUUGGGGUUGAAAACCGCUUUCGCCUGGGACGAAGGGGGGGUGACGGUAAUGGGUAAAGAAGCACCGGCUAACUACGU
rnacentral:rRNA from 1 species